UUUUUUCUUUUUUUUUUUCGAUUGUUGGAUCUUGAUAAUGGUGUUGUAGACAUUUUCCUUGAUAUUAAUUGUUGGUAUUUCAACUUUCUCCUUUAAGAAUCUAUUGAUACUACUGAUCUAUAUAUCAUUGUUAUACCGGUAACUAUCUUACCAUAUUUUUGACAUUUUCUUGCAAGAUAUAUAUUUGAAAUGUUUCAAGUUCCUUAUUCUGUUUAUCUAUAUAAGCGUUGAGGAAGUUUCAAAUACUAACUACAUUUACAUUCCAACAGUUUUAAACAAUAGACAGUUGUUCAAUUGUUACCAAUAUACACAAUUUCAUGUAGCCAAACUGGGCAGGGCUGAACACUAGUGGCCAGGUAACUGAAAUAGUUAGAGUGUCUGUUGAGAGUUUAGAGGUCCUGGGUACAAGUCCGUGUCUGUUGAGAGUUUAGAGGUCCUGGGUUGGAGUCCGUGUCUGGACAUUAUAUUUUUCCUCUACACUUACAUUUGUAUAGGUUGUUGGUCAAACUUCACUCCAUACUGUAUCAUCACUGAAACUAGUUCAUGCUUAUAAGUUGUUAAUUAUUUAUGUAUUGUUGAUUACAUUUUUGUUUUGUAUUAAUCUAAUGAAAUCAUUUGAUUUAA